CUAACCCAGCAACCUCCACUGACUCAGCAACCGGAGGAACACACUCUGUUGAGUUUUGGUAGGUGCCGGUGUGGUGGGUCUGGCAUGCAUGAAAACCUCCACCAAAAGGAGGGAGCUGUCUGUAACCCGGGUGAUAAAACUCUAGUUAUAAAUAUAAAAUAAAUAAAUCCUCCAUUCUCGUUUUCCAUAACUGUUCUGUCAAAUACGUAAUGACGUCAUACGUCACGUGACGGUGCACGGCCAAUCGGGUUGUUUUAUACCUGGAAGGCACUCGCGGGCCGGGAGCUUUGAGAGGGGGACACAUUGGGAAUAUUUGCUGCAAGGAGUCAACUACCGGAGCCGCCAGGCGUCGUGUGGAGUCGCGGGUGUUGUUUAAACAAGGAACUGGCCAGGUGAUGGCGAGCUAGACCCAAAGAAUUCUAGGCCCACACCGCCUAAAGAACCCUGGAGCUUGAACUGAAGUGAACUGAACUGGACCUCCUGCACCUCCUCCACCUGGUUGGGCUGGUAGGAACCUCCUUUAAGGCAGCCGUCCCUUCCUUUUCAUUCUUUGCCUCGCAACUAAUCGUUCAAACCUAACAAACUUGCAAAUUCACCCCCCUUCCAUGGACACCUACCUCUCCUUCUGGACACCCAACUCAUGAACUAUUGUUGCGUUAAAUGCCAUCUCGGCAAAGACUUUGAACUCAUUGCGUUGUGUGAAGUCCUACGUGGACACUCGAUAUCGUACAUCAGGUUGUAACUUGAAGGUGAUGUUUAUUGUGAAUUUAUUGUGUUUUUCCAUAUGAAUGGCCAUUCGAUUUAUUGUUAAAUGGUUGUAUGUCAUUUUGUCUAAAUAUAAUGUACUGGUACCACUUAAUACUUAA